rnacentral:rRNA from 1 species
AGAGUGAACGCUGGCGGCAGGCCUAAUACAUGCAAGUCGAACGGCAGCACGGCAGAGCUUGCUCUGCGGGUGGCGAGUGGCGGACGGGUGAGGAAUACAUGGGAAUCUGCCCAGUCGUGGGGGAUAACGUAGGGAAACUUACGCUAAUACCGCAUGCGCCCGUUCGGGGGAAACGCCGGGGACCUUCGGGCCUGGCGCGAUUGGAUGACGCCCAUGUCGGAUUAGCUAGUUGGCGGGGUACGCCCAC